GACGAACGCUGGCGGCGUGCUUAACACAUGCAAGUCGAACGCUGAAGCCCUUUCGGGGGUGGAUGAGUGGCGAACGGGUGAGUAACACGUGGGUAAUCUGCCCUGUACUUCGGGAUAAGCCUUGGAAACGGGGUCUAAUACCGGAUAGGACCUGUCCUCGCAUGGGGGUGGGUGGAAAGUUCCGGCGGUAUGGGAUGAGCCCGCGGCCUAUCAGCUUGUUGGUGGGGUAGUGGCCUACCAAGGCGACGACGGGUAGCCGGCCUGAGAGGGUGACCGGUCACACUGGGACUGAGACACGGCCCAGACUCCUACGGGAGGCAGCAGUGGGGAAUCUUGCGCAAUGGGCGAAAGCCUGACGCAGCAACGCCGCGUGGGGGAUGACGGCCUUCGGGUUGUAACCCUCUUUCGACAUCGACGAAGGGGCCCUGUUGUGGGGUUUUGACGGUAGGUGUAGAAGAAGCACCGGCUAACUACGUGCCAGCAGCCGCAGUAA
rnacentral:rRNA from 1 species